GCUUCAGCCUCCCCAGAUCCUAGGCCUCUGAGGGAAGAGGAGGAGGCACCACUGCUCCCCAGAACCCACCUGCAGGCAGAGCCACACCAAUAUGGACGUUGGACUGUCACUGAGCCAGCAGCCCUGACCCCAGGGAAUGCCACGCUUCCCACGACCCAGGAGGUUACUCCCUUGCUGCUGGAGCUGCAGAAGCUGCCGGGAUUGGUCCACGCAACCUUGAGUACCCCUAACCCUGAUAUCCAG
rnacentral:sRNA from 1 species